CUUUCCCUCUUUCUUUAGGCCUAACACAUGCAAGUCGAACGGCAGCACAGUAAGAGCUUGCUCUUACGGGUGGCGAGUGGCGGACGGGUGAGGAAUACAUCGGAAUCUACUUUUUCGUGGGGGAUAACGUAGGGAAACUUACGCUAAUACCGCAUACGACCUACGGGUGAAAGCAGGGGAUCUUCGGACCUUGCGCGAUUGAAUGAGCCGAUGUCGGAUUAGCUAGUUGGCGGGGUAAAGGCCCACCAAGGCGACGAUCCGUAGCUGGUCUGAGAGGAUGAUCAGCCACACUGGAACUGAGACACGGUCCAGACUCCUACGGGAGGCAGCAGUGGGGAAUACUGGACAAUGGGCGCAAGCCUGAUCCAGCCAUACCGCGUGGGUGAAGAAGGCCUUCGGGUUGUAAAGCCCUUUUGUUGGGAAAGAAAAGCAGCAGGUUAAUACCCCGCUGUUCUGACGGUACCCAAAGAAUAAGCACCGGCUAACUUCGUG
rnacentral:rRNA from 1 species